rnacentral:rRNA from 1 species
CUCGACUCUGUCGACUAAAGUUCUGGAUAGAAUUUGAUGAUGACAUUUUCUAUCUAUGUGUCUUGACCAAAUCACGUGCCAGCAGUCGCGGUAAUACGUGGAAGACUAGUGUUAUUCAUCUUUAAUGGGUUUAAAGGGUACCUAGACGGUAUAUUCAGCCCAAGAGGGUACUGAUUAAACUAGAGUUUUAUGCGAGGGGGUGUGUACUAGUGGAGUAGAGAUGAAAUUCAGUCAUACCAUUAUGAACAGGCAACGGCGAAAGCAACCCUUUAUGUAAAAACUGACGUUGAAGGACGAAGGCUCAGUACACCAACAGGAUUAGAUACCCUAGCAGUCUGAGCAGACAAUGAUGAGUGUCAUAGACAAGAAAGAUAUUUUGUCUAUAAAUGAAAGUGUAAGCAUUCCACCUCAAGAGUAAUGUGGCAACGCAGGAACUGAAAUCAUUAGACCGUUUCUGAAACCAGUAGUGAAGUAUGUUGUUUAAUUUGAUGGUCCUCAAAGAACCUUACCACAAUUUGUAUAUUUAUAUUAUUUAAAUACAAGAGUUGCACGGCUGUCUUCAGUUAAUGUUGUGAGAUUUUGGUUAGUUCCAGAAAAUUAACGUAAACCCUUACUUUAUUUAUAUAUGAAGUAGUUCGCCACUAUAUUGGAUAUGAUAAGAGGGAAUAAGACAAGCCUUCAUG